rfam:Blumeria graminis f. sp. hordei DH14, WGS project CATH01000000 data, contig: 011265
ACAUACGACCAUAGAUUGAGGAGAAUUGGGCAUCCCGUCCGCUCUGCCAUACACAAGCCUCAAAUCGGCAGUCUAGUAGUUGGGUGGGUGACCACCAGCGAAUCCCUGCUGUUGUAUGUU